rnacentral:hammerhead_ribozyme from 1 species
AUCCAGCUGACGAGUCCAAAUAAGGAUGAAACGCGCUCCCUGGAU